rnacentral:rRNA from 1 species
AUUGAACGCUGGCGGAAGGCCUAACACAUGCAAGUCGAACGAGUGGCGGACGGGUGCGUAAUGUCUGGGAAACUGCCUGAUGGAGGGGGAUAACUACUGGAAACGGUAGCUAAUACCGCAUACCAUCGGAUGAGCCCCGAUGGGAUUAGCUAGUAGUUGGGGUAACGGCUCACCUAGGCGACGAUCCCUAGCUGGUCUGAGAGGAUGACCAGCCACACUGGAACUGAGACACGGUCCAGGCUCCUACGGUAGGCAGCAGUGGGGAAUAUUGCACAAUUGGCGCAAGCCUGAUGCAGCCAUGCCGCGUGUGUGAAUAAGGCCUUCGGGUUGUAAAGCACUUUCAGCGGGGAGGCGUUACCCGCAGAAGAAGCACCGGCUAACUCCGUGCCAGCAGCCGCGGUAAUAC